ACACUUAUUUGAGAAUCCAGGAAACGAACAAAAAGUCCAGACGGAAUUCCUCAAUGAAAAUGAACUUUACAUAGGCAAACACUAAGCACUCCAGUGGUAGGGAGUGCUCUAGUCAAACAUAAAAGUGAGGAAAAUGUGAAAAAAAUCACUGCAGUAUUUGUGUUCUGUCUCUUUUUAACCAAGUUCCUAAAAAAACUGCAGUUUAUAUGUACUGCGCAAUGCAGAAGGAGCAGCGAGAUUGUGGUUAAUACACCAUUCACCUCAAUUGUACGUGGAGGUGUGUUCUGUAAGCAAUUCGACGGUGUAAGUUCGCAACCACGUAUCUCGUUUGCAAUGUUUGAAAAUCUCCGCUCCUAUUUCAUUUUCUUAAAAGAAGAACAAAUCAACAUCAUUGGUUGAAAUUUUCAUAGAAUUUUCCUCGCACAGAGAAGAAAAAUCACGGCAGUUUUUAAGAAUUGCCGUUUAGUAGAUUUCCAUGUAAAAAAUAAAGGAUAACAGGAAGUCUGCCACGUCGCAAACCGAGAUACGUGGUUGCACACUUACAUACCGUCGAAUUAUAUGUGUUAAUGGACUAUACAUUUUUAAAAAAGAACUACUAUUGCUGGCUCAUCCGUGAAAGUACCAUCUGCAAGGUGACUAAUCUCACAUACGUUGUUUCUAAAAUGAACCAGAAAUUGUAGUUCCUUACUUCAAAAUGAUCUCAGUCCUUUGCUUGCACAGCGUAGAAAAGGUUUUACUGGAUUGUAACUAAUUCACUGUCAGACCAAUGGCUCAUGAUAGCGAUCUAUGCUUUGAGGCGGGAUAUUCUCUCUUGAAAAAUUGAGAUGGAUCGAAUUUUGAUAGCAACUCAGUUGAAAUGCUCUAUUAAAAGAAGGGGAAGAGCCAAUUUUGUGACCCGAAUUUGAUUGUUUUGUUUUGUUUACUUAAGCCUUUAAGUUAAUUCCUCUCUUUUACAUUUUGGGUGUUUUUUUCCACAUUCAUAAUUUUUCGGCAAUCGACAGAUAAUAAUAUCUAGUAUCUGGUUGAUCACACAGUUUUCAAAUUUUUAAAUUGUGGCCAAGACUUUCCUAGUUCCAUGAAACGAACAGGAAAGACACCCCCCCCCCCCCUAAAAAAAAAGUAAAGUUUAAUCGUUAAAGAUAAUCUGAAUACUGUACAGAAAGUAAGCAUAUCAGACGCUGGCUGAUGAUUAAGAUGUGAUAAUAAAUUUGACAGGCUCUAUUCCUUAUUGCCCUCUAUACGGAAUUCUAUUAUUUUGGCAAAGUUAUAUGAUUGCUGAUGUAUUCUACACGAAAAAUAUAUAAAUAUAGAAAAAACACCGAAUUCAGACUUUUUAUCACAUCCACCAUUCUAUUACUUUUUUUUAAUCAUUUCUUUCACAGCAUCUCAAGGCUCCGAUCAAAUAAAUUGUGGUUUUUGAUCCACCCAAUUCAUUAUUUUUGAUCAGUGUUCACAAGGAAGUACUAAUAGUUCAGGAAGAACGGUCGUAUCCUUGUAUCAGGCCUUAAAAAAAAUGGAAUUUCAUACCUGAGCCCAAAUCUUGUUGGUUUACGACCGACCGCAAGUUGAGAACCUAACCUCAAAAUCCGACUUUAAAUUGCAAUAAUUAUAUUCUAAACUCAAGCUGUGCGCAAGUUGAGCUUUUUUUAUAGCAGGGUAGAGCCAUCCUUAGUUUCCCAACGGUGCAAACCAUUAAUCAGCGACCGAAUAACAAAGUCAACAUCCCAGCCUGAACUUGCGGCAGUUGCGGCCGACCGUAACGCUGCCAACAAAAUACGGGCCCUGAACUUGUAAGCGUAAGAGCCUAUAGACUAAUUUAUUGGCUAUAUCUCGUUCGAUAUAAUAUCGAAACCUUGGCUCAAAUGUAAACAAACACAGAACUUUGAUUCUGAUUCGCGCCCUUUGCAGGUGUUAAAAUGCGUCCAAGUGUUUCUUACGAUCAAAAAGUUCUCGUUUUUAAUGAGUCUUUAAUUGAUUUAUGACUGGUCAAUGACUAUAGAUUUUGAUAAAUUAACCCAAUUAGCUCAUGAAGAGUCCGCACAUGAGGUUAUGUUGUUUUUUUUUUGGUUUGAACCAAGAGUUCGAUAGUAUAUCGAAUGACGUAGACACUAAAUCAGGCUAUUGCUACGAUGAUAAAAGAUCUUAAUAUCCAACCUUCACAGUAAUCGCGUAUGUUAUCAAAAGCUUAUAUUACUUUUUUUCAUGCGGAAGACUACCUGCGGGCCGAUUAUUGGAACUAUGUCAGUACGACUAGGCAAGACAUAGCCCUAUCUUUUCCAUGCAUACAUCACAUUACGAUGUCUUAUCGGGCUACUUUAAGCUUUCAAUAAUUGGCCCGCUUAUUGGACUAAUGAAG
rnacentral:lncRNA from 1 species